rnacentral:rRNA from 1 species
GAUGAACGCUAGCUACAGGCUUAACACAUGCAAGUCGAGGGGUAACGGGAGGGAAGCUUGCUUUCCUUGUCGACGACCGGCGCACGGGUGAGUAACGCGUAUCCAACCUGCCCCCAACUAAGGAAUAACCUUGCGAAAGUAAGACUAAUACCUUAUAAUUUCCUCAGAUGACAUCUGACGAGGAAUAAAGAUUUAUCGGUUGUGGAUGGGGAUGCGUCUGAUUAGCUCGUUGGCGGGGUAACGGCCCACCAAGGCAACGAUCAGUAGGGGUUCUGAGAGGAAGGUCCCCCACAUUGGAACUGAGACACGGUCCAAACUCCUACGGGAGGCAGCAGUGAGGAAUAUUGGUCAAUGGGCGGAAGCCUGAACCAGCCAAGUAGCGUGCAGGAUGACGGCCCUAUGGGUUGUAAACUGCUUUUAUACAGGAAUAAAGUUAGCCACGUGUGGUUAUUUGUAGGUACUGUAUGAAUAAGGACCGGCUAAUUCCGUGCCAGCCGCCGCAGUAA